UUUAAAUUCUCCGGGCUAAAACACGUUACAAACAACAGCUGGAAUACAUUGCAUUUAUCGUUCUUUCGGUUUAUUAUAAAAUGGCGUCUUACACCCGACCAGUAAAAAAAAGGAUGGGUAAACGAUCGAGCGCCAUCUUAUAAUUCGUUGGAGGGCGUAACAUAAACGUUCAUUUGAUAUUUCAAUAGUAAAAAGGCAACUGCUACGUCCUAUUUGACUACCGACAAAAAGAGAUAAGCUAUCGAUGUGUUAGAUCGAUGACCUUGUCCUAUCAUUUGAUUAUUUUCAAACUAACAUUCAUAUGUGAUUGUUUUCAAAGUGAAACGCCUUUUCUGAGUUAUGGAGUAAAACGUAUGCAAUGAUCGAAGUUCUUGUCUAUUAGUAUCUCAAUGACUUCGUAAACAGCGGUCAACCGACACAAAAUUAUCACGUAUUAAUGAUUAUAUAAUUGAUAACUAAUAAACGAUAAGAAAGAGAAUAAUAGCACAUCGGAAAUACAAUGGUCGAUAUAGUCACAAAUAGUGAUAAAAUCACGACAACGACGAUGCAAUAAUCAAAAACAAUGAUAAAUGAUAAAGAAAUGUAUUUACAUCUUCCAAAAUUUUUAAAGAAAUAACGUACGUCCUUCAAAAUGAAAUAUAUUUGCAGAGAAUAAAUAAAAUAAGAUAAACCAAAUUUUUUAACAUCUCUAUCUGUAAAGCUUUAUCUUACUAAAAGGACACUAAGUUUUUGUUUUUUCAGACGAAGAAGGACCGAAAUUUACGAAAGAAUGAAGGAAAGAAAGAAAGAAGUACGUGAAUUUUCAUUUUCCCUUGGACAUGGGGAUAUAUCCAUGAUAGAGGUACCGUUAGUACGACCCUCGAAAGCUUCGAAAAGGGAAAGGAUUUUCGUUCGAAGUAGUACGAAAUAAAGCUUGUCGUGAAACUGGACGUGUACGUGCAUGCGUAUGUGCGCGCGUGCAUGCGUGCGUAAGCUGUUGGGAAGAGAGAGAAGGAGAGGGAGGAGAGAGGGAAGGGUAGAAGGGAGGAAACAGAGGGACAGAGGAGACGCGUCGUAGACAUAAGCGAGAACGGAAGAUGAGGAAGGAGGGUGAAACGCGAGGAAAACGAGGGUUGCCGGAAAGUGGGGUGAAGAGUAGGGAGUAGGGAGAGGACUCUGCACCGCGACGCUACGGGGUGGUUGCCCUCGUCUGCGCUUUGUGGGAAAUGCCCGUUCAAUAACGCGUAGGUCCUCGUCUGCCCCUUCUCACCCUCGGAAUCAUCGCGGCAAGGGCCACUGCCCCAAAAGGCACGACUACACCCGUCGAUUUACCCUUAUCCUAUCUCCUUCCUUUCUCUCCCUUCUAUCUUCUCCACCCUCCACUCUCUUUCCUUCUUCGACAGCUUCGACUACUAUCUAUCUAUCUACCUAUCUACCCCCAGUUUUCGUUUCUCUGCUUCUACUGAACGAAUCGCCCCCAACGCGUUCGAAAAGGUCGUACCUUGCCCUUACUCUUUCUCUCUCUCACGUUUUCUCUUUCUUUUUAUCUCAUUCUUCUCUCGCAAUGUAUUUUACACUGACCGUAGCAGGACGAAGCAACCUGCAUCGACCCGUUCCCAUCUUGUACAUUGGAAUUAUUGUAAAUGCAUCUUAUUCGAUCGCCAUGAGAGAUGAGUCGAUAAAUACAAAUAUCGUGAAAUGCAUCGAUAAGCACAAGUUCGAUUCACUUGCAUUUCCCAAGAAACUUUGUUGUAAAAAUACGACGAUGCUUUCUUGGCAUCAUUGGACGAAACUUUAUCCAUGUUUAUUCGCUGUGGAUAGUAUGGUAUGCGUGCAGAUAGAUACAUAGAUACCAGUCGCCUGCAUCUAUUUAUAUCGACGGCGAACCACGGUGCAACUGACCGUGUGGCCUUGACUUCCUGUUGACCCGACUGCCCCUAGGGAAUUUUGGCGUACUCAUUGGAUUUCUGGGGACGACGUUGGAGGAGAAUCGAUGUACCACGGCCUUUCUUGUCGAGAACAGGAUUACUUCGUAUUCGCGGAGUUCGAUCCAAUUCCAUUCUCCUGCUAUCGGCAGUUAUCGACUGAAGUGCCUGCUCGUAGGCAAUUUGUCCAACGAUCAAUCUGCGUACCAUUGCGUUAUCUUUAGAUUGAUAUAUAAACGUACUACUUGCAUACAUAUAGCAUAGAGUCGAUGAAUAUAUAGGAAAUCAUCGUUUAGGAAGAUUCAAUUGUAAAAUUGUCUUCACCACUGUUAAGGAAGAUAAAUUUUUAACAUAGUUCAUAUUUCUAAAAUAUUUCCUUCGUUGCACUGACUACUCUACAGAAAUAAAAGUUAUAUAGUUAGACAGAACAAUUAAAUAGUAUACAGUUAAAAGGACUUACCGGUAAUCUCCGAUGGUUAGGUUAUUCUUAAUUUGAAUUUGAAGGGAAUGAAUUAUAGUUACAAGAAAAAGAGGUAGAGAAGAUAAAGAGACAGGCCAACUAUGGUGACUCGUAGAAGAUUAUAAAGGAUGUCAAGGAAUGGAAAUCUGCAACUCUUGACCUUGUCCAUGGAUUCGUAGUGAAUGAGAGAGAAACGAAGAGUGAGAAACACGAGGAAAGACAUCAUUUAAAAGCAAAAACUUUUUGCUUUCUUACCUGGUUUGAGCUUCUAUCGUGGUUUAUGAUAUACGAUUCUCAGCCUUUGUCCGAUAUUAAAAGUACAUCUGAUACUAAAAGAAAGAGAGAGAGAGAGAGAGAGAGAGAGAGAGAGAGAGAGAGAGAGAGAGAGAAAGUAAAGAACAAUGCAAAUAAUCGUUAAGACGAAGAUAUCAGAAGACUAGAUAAGGUACUAAUGGAGAUAUUUAGGAUAAUCU